GUAGGUGAACCUGCGGAAGGAUCAUUAACACUCGACAAUCAUAAGUCGUUAAAACUUGUACCCAACCCAACAAACUUCCACGAGCUAACCCCGUCCACGGACGUGAUAAAAUCCCCUUUAUAUUUCGGGGGUAUAUUGAGUAUUAUAUUUGACAAUGAUAACGUCAUAUGAUUGAGAAUUGGGAGUCAUAUUAACUAAUCUUUUUAUGAAUUUGAUCGUUUAUUGUAAUGAUACUCGAUCGUUUUUCUGU
rnacentral:misc_RNA from 1 species